CAGUAGCCGCGGGAAAACGUAGGGUGCAAGCGUUAAUCGGAAUUACUGGGCGUAAAGCGUGCGCAGGCGGUUAUAUAAGUCAGAUGUGAAAUCCCCGGGCUCAACCUGGGAACUGCAUCUGAGACUGUAUGGCUAGAGUGUGUCAGAGGGGGGUAGAAUUCCACGUGUAGCAGUGAAAUGCGUAGAUAUGUGGAGGAAUACCGAUGGCGAAGGCAGCCCCCUGGGAUAACACUGACGCUCAUGCACGAAAGCGUGGGGAGCAAACAGGAUUAGAGACCCCCGUAGUCCCUGUCUCUUAUAC
rnacentral:rRNA from 1 species